rnacentral:lncRNA from 1 species
AAAAAAUGUAGAAAAAAUUAUGGAAUCUUAUGAAGAAUUAUGUAAUUAAGGCCUAGAUUGAGUUUAAACAAUGUAGAAAAUCGAUAUUAACAAUAGAGAUAAUUUGGAUUGCUUUAAAAAUGAAUAGAGAAAAAACAUUUAAAAAUUAGAACAAAGGGUCUAAAUAAUUGCAGUAAUGAGGACCCCUCGAAUCAGAAAUUUACCAAACUUACUAUAUUCUUAAAACAAUGGCAUUCUUGACUUACAAUCAAAAAGUACCAGUGGGCCUCUUGUUUUGUUUUGAGCUAAAACCUGUGAUAUUUUAUUGAAUAUUGACCAAUUUAUUGUAAAUAAAAUCAGUAACAUUUGUAUACCUUUUGUCUGUUAUGCCAAUUUGACUGUGAUUUAAUU